GUGUUGACCUGCUAAGGGAUCUAGUUAAAAUUCAGAUUCUGAUGCAAUAGAGCUAGGGGGAGGUCUGAGAUUCUGAAUUUCCAAUAAACUCCUGGGUGGUGCCCAU
rnacentral:pre_miRNA from 1 species